UUUCACCCUAGACUCAUAUUCACUAACAACCGCAAUUUUCAUUCCCAAACCAAACCACCGCGACAAAAACCAGCCACCGACCUCCUAUUCCCCUCCUUCUCCGCCUCCGACCGCUCUCCUCCUCCUUCUCUGCCUCCUUCUCUCCCUCCCAGCCGAAGUCGGAGCUGCUUUCGCCGUUCUCCUUUCUCUCUCCGUAGGCCUUCCCCUCUCAACCCCUCUCUUCGAUCGUCGACUCGUCAAGGCGUCUACGGCCUCUCUCUCCUCGACUGUAAGUCGCCUCGACUGUAAGUCGGUAAGAAGUUGUACUGGGUUUUGACUUUGAGCAUCUCCAUAAUUUGAACAUCUUCAAUCGAUCUAUCUCUGAUGAACAACUCCUUGAAUUUCUGGGUUUUCAAACGAACAGCCUUAAACUUGAUCUUGGUGCUCUCUUCCUCGCAGCAAAGCUGAAAACUUUCUGGGUUUUCAUACGAACAGCCUCAAACUCGAUGUCUUGGGUCUGUUCUCAAUCUCUUUUUACUUGAUUUAUGUUUUAGGCUCCUACUUUUGAUAAUAGAAUGAUAGAUUUUGCUUCGUAUAGGAGGGAGAGAAGCCUGAUUGUAUCAUUACUCCGAAACUGAAUGUUGGGGAUAAGCUU
rnacentral:lncRNA from 1 species